UACAGAGGGCUCAAGCGUUGUUCGGAUUCAUUGGGCGUAAAGGGUGCGUAGGUGGCGGGGUAAGUCCGGUGUGAAAUCUCGGAGCUCAACUCCGAAACUGCACUUGAUACUGCCUUGCUCGAGUACUGGAGAGGUGAGUGGAAUUUACGGUGUAGCAGUGAAAUGCGUAGAUAUCGUAAGGAAGACCAGUGGCGAAGGCGAAUCUCUGGACAGUUACUGACACUGAGGCACGAAGGCCAGGGGAGCAAACGGG
rnacentral:rRNA from 1 species